AAAUGAUGAAAUCACCUAAAAUAGCUGGAAUUACUAGCAAAUUGAUUAAUGGUGCCCAUAUGGUUUCCUGAAG
rnacentral:snoRNA from 1 species